UCAUAUGAACUCUCCCGCCACCCGGGAACAGUGGCUGCCACCGUUUGUGUUUUCCCGAGUUUGAAUUCUUGCAGGUGACCAAGAUGGAGUUUUCUGGAAGAAAGUGGAGGAAGCUGAGGUUGGCAGGUGACCAGAGGAAUGCUUCCUACCCUCAUUGCCUUCAGUUUUACUUGCAGCCACCUUCUGAAAACAUAUCUUUAAUAGAAUUUGAAAACUUGGCUAUUGAUAGAGUUAAAUUGUUAAAAUCAGUUGAAAAUCUUGGAGUGAGCUAUGUGAAAGGAACUGAACAAUACCAGAGUAAGUUGGAGAGUGAGCUUCGGAAGCUCAAGUUUUCCUACAGAGAAAACUUAGAAGAUGAAUAUGAACCACGAAGAAGAGAUCAUAUUUCUCAUUUUAUUUUGCGGCUUGCUUAUUGCCAGUCUGAAGAACUUAGACGCUGGUUCAUUCAACAAGAAAUGGAUCUCCUUCGAUUUAGAUUUAGUAUUUUACCCAAGGAUAAAAUUCAGGAUUUCUUAAAGGAUAGCCAAUUGCAGUUUGAGGCU
rnacentral:sRNA from 1 species